rnacentral:rRNA from 1 species
UCCAGAGGCCCCAAGCGUUACUGAGAAUCACUGGGUUUAAAGGGUGCGUAGGUGGUCCGUUAAGUUCGUUGUGAAAGCCCUGGGCUCAACCCAGGAACUGCUUCGAAUACUGGCGGACUUGAGGCUAGUAGAGGUCACUGGAACUGACGGUGGAGCGGUGAAAUGCGUAGAUAUCGUCAGGAACGCCAAUGGUGAAGACAGGUGACUGGGCUAGAUCUGACACUGAGGCACGAAAGCGUGGGGAUCAAACGGG